rnacentral:rRNA from 1 species
CCUACGGGUGGCUGCAGUGGGGAAUAUUGGACAAUGGGCGAAAGCCUGAUCCAGCCAUGCCGCGUGUGUGAAGAAGGCCUUCGGGUUGUAAAGCACUUUCAGUGGGGAAGAAAGCCUUGGGGCUAAUACCCUCGUGUAAGGACAUCACCCACAGAAGAAGCACCGGCUAACUCCGUGCCAGCAGCCGCGGUAAUACGGAGGGUGCGAGCGUUAAUCGGAAUUACUGGGCGUAAAGCGCGCGUAGGCGGUCUGAUAAGCCGGUUGUGAAAGCCCCGGGCUCAACCUGGGAACGGCAUCCGGAACUGUCAGGCUAGAGUGCAGGAGAGGAAGGUAGAAUUCCCGGUGUAGCGGUGAAAUGCGUAGAGAUCGGGAGGAAUACCAGUGGCGAAGGCGGCCUUCUGGACUGACACUGACGCUGAGGUGCGAAAGCGUGGGUAGCAAACAGGAUUAGAUACCCUUGUAGUC